rnacentral:misc_RNA from 1 species
GAAAUGCGAUAAGUAAUGUGAAUUGCAGAAUUCAGUGAAUCAUCGAAUCUUUGAACGCACAUUGCGCUCGCCAGUAUUCUGGCGAGCAUGCCUGUUCGAGCAUCAUUUCAACCAUCAAGCUCUGCUUGCGUUGGGGAUCCGCGGCUGCCCGCGGUCCCUCAAAAACAGUGGCGGGCUCGCUAGUCACACCGAGCGUAGUAACUCUACAUCGCUAUGGUCGUGCGGCGGGUUCUUGCCGUAAAACCCCCAAUUUCUAAGGUUGACCUCGGAUCAGGUAGGAAUACCCGCUGAACUUAAGC